CUGGGCCCCGCCUCCGCGCCGCUCUGUGCUUAGGUGGCCGCGAGGCCGCCUCGACCCAGGGGAGCAGGAAGGAAGCCCGGGAGCGCCCUGCACCUGUGCCUGCCUCUGCGCACCUCCCCAAGAGCCAGGGCCAACGAGGGGUCCCCUCACCCUCAAAUCUACCUCCUCAGAGAGGCUGGUCCUCCCGGGCCUGCCGCGAUCCCUCGGGGUGGUCUCGGUGAGUCAGGGAGGGUCCUUGAAAUAGGGGUCCGGGGCCCGGCCCUCCGACCUGACGGGGACAGCGAGUCACUCAGUGAGUUUGAACAGCUACCUGCUCCUCUGGGCCUCAGUUUCCUCCCUGUGAAGUGAGGGACGGGGCUAAAGGCUGGUAUCCCUGAGCUGAGGCUCCGGAGUUCAGUCCAUCGCCACCAGCUCAGGCACGGAGAAGACAGUCGACCUACGCACAGGAGCCAGGGAAACCGUGUGACCCAAAGUUAACGGGGAGAAACCCAGAAAACCUGAUGUCUUAUAUCCAGCUGCUCUUAAGAAAGAGUCUUUCUGGAGCAGACAGCGAGGGGAGCUGCACUCAGCCACUGGAAUGCAGGUGACAGCUGAUGGGCACAGGACCUCAGGUGCAGCCUUAAGUAUGUUCUGUUCCAUUUGCAGAAAGUUCAGAAAGCCUCAGCCUUUCCUCAGAAAACCUGGAAGAUGCAAUGCCCUGGCUGAUUUGGACUUGUAUGCCUUACCUGUGAGCAAGUCAUCUCCUGGGAACACCUCUAAUUUUUAAGAUUCCAAUGAUGCCACCACCUGACAUGUUUUUAACCACACAGUCCCAGGAUCCAGGCCAUGGGAUGCUUGCUAAUGGGGCCUUGGGGAGCUGAAUUUAGAGGCUGAGUAUCCUCUGAUGGGGUCAGGGAGGAAAGGAUUUGGUUGCACCUCCAGCUUGCACAGGGCUCCCGACCAGCCCGGCCCAGCCUCCUCUGUACUAUGCUCUAGCUUAUGAGGCCUCCUGGUUCCACCCACCACCUGGCAGGGCCAACCUCUUUGUUCUCCUUGCCUCGUGGGGAUAAGGAGAACCUCACUAAGUCAUCCAGUUCGAGGAGACCCAGAUGUGGAGUCAGCCCCCAUUCUACUCUGCCACCCCACCCUCCCCACCUGGGGGAGUGACAAUCUCUGGGACCUGAACUCGGUGACUCCACCUAACCCCAAACUUCAAGAACAUCGGUGGCUGAGAGCCCAGGAUCUCCUUCCCACAAAGCCACAUGUUCUACUAGCCAGACUUGGGGUCUGAGGUUUGAGAGACAGUCGCUCUGCCCUCUCAGGUCACCACUCCAACUUUCCUCCAGCCGUCCCUUUUUCCUACCCACGGCCCUGUGCUUAUUCAGGCCCAAAGCCAGGGAGACCACAGGUCAGGAUCUCACAAGUAUUGCAAUCCUAGUGCAUUCUUGUCCUAUGUAAAAUUUUCGAUCUUUUCCUAAAACCGAUUUAUUUUCCGUUUUAUUAUCCUGAAAUGUAAUUGGUCUUCUCCUCUUUCAAGUAUAGCUAUUCACUAGCCCAUACUUAUAAACUUGUACCCUUCAGAAAGGAUUUCUUGUUCUCUUUCUUGUAUUUUCUCAUUUUACCUUGAAAGUGCAGCCUUAUCUUCUGUAUUCCCACAGGCAGUGCUGAGAACACCCAAUAAGGUGCACCCAACAGAAACAUUUUAUGCUGUUUGUCAGUUGCUUGUUUGGGGAGAAGGGGCCACAGAUGGGUAAAUUUUCUUGGCUUUUCUUGCUUAACUACACGUAACUUUCUAGGGUGGGUUUUCAUUAUAACAUGAAUCUCUGCAAACAUUUUUAGGCACCAGCCAGCAAAGAUACAUACACUGUCUUCUCUUCUCCCUUUUGCACAGUGAUCUUGGUGGCACCCACUUUGGGGAGGGUUGGAUUUAUCACAUUGUUAUUCCAAAGAAACUUGACUUUCUCAAUUGUUCCAACAUCCAGCUUUGCAUCAAACUCAUAGGAAUGGGUUGAGCCUGGUUUGAGAAUCCCCCUUGAAAUAGAGAAACAUAAACAUCCCUGUUCACGGAAAUGAGUUCUAAUUACCAUACAAUGCCAGGCUGCUGUUUUCUCUUCUAGAUUAACAGGAUUAUUUUUCCGAAUUAAUUUCCAAAUAAAGGAUGGAGAAAUGGAAAAGCCAGCUAUAUGCUAGCACCUCAAACUAUGGUUUUUAAAACUCAAGUUAAUUUUUCCUUAAAGCUUUCUAAUAGAAAAUAAAAUAGAAUUCCUGCAUAUCAUUUUAUAUGUUUUGGAAGAAUUAUUUGUACAGUAACAAAUUGGCCACAUAGUAUGGCACAAUAAGCAUGUGUUAUUGCACUAAUCAGAAAACAGCAUAUCUGAAGUAAUAUUAGAUUUAUGUUUAAAAAAACAUCUAUUAAGAGAAAGAGGCCGGGCAUGGUGGCUCACGUCUGUAAUCCCAGCACUUUGAGAGGCCGAGAUGGGUGGAUCACUUGAGGUCAGAAGUUCGAGACCAGCCUGGCCAACAUGGCAAAACGCCCCCCAUCUCUACUAAAAAUACAAAAAUCAGCCAGGUGUGGUGGCACAUGCCUGUAAUCUCAGCUACUUGGGAGGCUGAGGCACGAGAAUUUCUUGAACCCGGGAGGCGGAGGUUGCAAUGAGCCAAGAUCGUGCCACUGCACUCCAGCCUGGGUGACAGAGCAAAGACUCUUUCUCAAAAAAAAAAAAAAAAAAAAAAAAGAGAGAGAAAGGACGAAAUGCCUAGGUUUAUAACAGAAAAGAAAAAUUAUUAGCAGAAGUCUGCAAUUAACAUCAGUACAUAAAGUUAUAUAGUCCUGCGUUGCUUAACAAUGGAGAUAUGUUCUGAGAAAUGUGUCCUUAGGUAAUUUAAUCAUUGUGUGGACAUCAUAGCAUGUACUCACACAAACGUAGAUGGCACAGCCUACUACAUACCUAGGCUGUAUGGUACAGCCUAUUGCUCCUAGGUUACAAACCUGUACUACAUGUUACUGUAUUGAGUUCUGUAGACAACUGGAACACAAUGGUAAGUAUUUGUGUAUCUAAACACCCAAACAUAGAAAAAGUACAGUAAAAAUAUGGUAUUACAAGCUUAUAAAGCAACUGUUGUGUAUGUGGUCCAUCAACUAAAAUGUUGUUACAUGUUGCAUGACUAUAAUUAAAAACCAGUGACAUAUAAAGAGAUGAUAAGUGUUCAAAUUAAGUGUGUGGUUUGAAGGCUGUGUAUAUCAUCAAAUGAGACGUAGUGUUAAAAUAGGAAAUUACCUGAAGAUACUGUACUGGUGAGUGUUUCCCUUAUUUCCAAACAAAGCAACUUUGAUCUGACCAGUGGCUGUUCUUCCAGACAGUGUGAUGGAAACCCCAUAUCUCCAGCCUGCACAGGAGAUGGAAGAGUUCAAUUUAUUCACACACAAAAUAAGUAGCCUACAUCCCAGACUUGUCUCCUUCUCUUACUCUGAGGCAACAAAGCAUAAGAAAUUCUUUUCUAAAAAAUUAUUAUUAUUAUUUUUUGAGAUGGGGUCUCACUCUGUCACCCAGGCUGGAGUGUAGUGGUGCAAUCUUGGCUCACUGCCACCUCUGCCUCCCAGGUUCAAGUAAUUCUUCUGCCUCAACCUCCCUAGUAGCUGGGACUACAGGCACACACCAUCACGCCUGGCUAAUUUUUGUAUUUUUAGUAGAGACAGAGUUUCGCCAUGUUGGUCAAGCUGGUCUCCAACUCCUGACCUCAAGUGAUCCGCCCGUGUCCGCCUCCCAAAGUGAUGGGAAUACAGGCGUGAGCCACCACACCCAGCCAAAGUAUAAGAAAUUCUAUUUGUUAAUCUACAAAUCAAACAAGGCCUUAUGGAGAAGUAUGUAUUUAGCAGUAUCCCCCUCUAGAACUGCAUUGCCCAGGGAGGAGGUCACCAGCCACAUGUGGCUGCUUACAUUUAAAUCCAAAUUAAAUACAAUUAAAAAUUUAGUUUCUCAAACUCAUUCGCUGUGUUGCAAAUGUUAAGUUGCCACAUGAGGCUAAUGGCUACACAGAAUAUGCCCCUCAUUGCAGAAAGUUCUGUUAGCCAGCUCUGCCCCAGAAUGGCAGUACAGUAAGGUAAGGUGAAGAGAGAGGGAAUAGGGGCUUGUCUCCACAUUUGGGAAGGUAGCUCGGGAGUGCAGCCUGGCAAGCACCUCGAGGGCGGGGACUGUGUUUCCUCUCUGCUCCCCAGGGCCCUGGGCAGUCUCUAGCACAGAGCAGGUGCACGAGCAGCUGUCACUUAGGCUUCUACCUGAAAUGCUGUCCCAGGGCCUGCAUGCACACGCACACAAAUACAAAUACAUAUACACAAACAUAUGCAUGUGCGUGCACACACACAAAUACAUAUACACAAACAUGCAUGUGUAUGUGCACACACACACAAACCUACACACAUUUAACCACGCACAUACAUAGACACCCACAUACAAAUAUACAUACACAUGCACAUACAUAUACAUAAACAUACAGACUCAUAUACAUACGUAUAUAAACACAUGCAUACACACAAAGGUACAUACACAAACACACUCACACAUGCAUUCAUACACCCACACAUGUGCACAGAUGUACAUUAAUAUACACAGACAUGAUUCUUGCCUAACUCCUAUUCAUCUUUCGUGUCUUCAGAGACCUUGACCCUGACCCUCCUUCUGGUCAGGGCCAGGUUCUCUGUCCCAUAAUGUCAUGGCAACAGCCACCAAGCCCAACACGCUUGUAGUUGCUUGCCCAGUUUCUGUCUUUGGCUGGAUUAUUAAUUUCAUGAGAGGAGUCUCUUGUUCGUCCCUGCAUCCUCAGUGUCUAGCAUAGUCUGUGGCCCAUAAAUAAAUGUUGAUUGAGGAAUGAAUACCUGGUUUUUGAGUGUUUAAUUUGUUGUUGAAAUAUUGGCAAGUAUUUCAUGCAUCACAACAUCAGUGGAAGGAUUGAUUAAUCAAUGUCUUCUUACAAAAAAAAUACACAGAGUGGGCCGGGUGCGGUGGCUCACGCCUGUAAUCCCGGCACUUUGGGAGGCCGAGGCAGGCGGAUCACAAGGUCAGGAGAUCGAGACCAUCCUGGCUAACAUGGUGAAACCCCGUCUCUACUAAAAAUGUAAAAAAAAAAUUAGCCUGGCAUGGUGGCGGGCGCCUGUAGUCCCAGCUACUCGGGAGGCUGAGGCAGGAGAA
rnacentral:lncRNA from 10 species